GUAGCGCCUCGUGAACUCAUCUUCGGGGGUAGAGCACUGUUUCGGCUAGGGGGCCAUCCCGGCUUACCAACCCGAUGCAAACUACGAAUACCGAAGAAUGUUAUCACGGGAGACACACGGCGGGUGCUAACGUCCGUCGUGAAGAGGGAAACAACCCAGACCGCCAGCUAAGGUCCCAAAGUCAUGGUUAAGUGGGAAACGAUGUGGGAAGGCACAGACAGCCAGGAUGUUGGCUUAGAAGCAGCCAUCAUUUAAAGAAAGCGUAAUAGCUCACUGGUCGAGUCGGCCUGCGCGGAAGAUGUAACGGGGCUAAACCAUGCACCGAAGCUGCGGCAGCGACGCUUAUGCGUUGUUGGGUAGGGGAGCGUUCUGUAAGCCGUUGAAGGUGUGCUGUGAGGCAUGCUGGAGGUAUCAGAAGUGCGAAUGCUGACAUAAGUAACGAUAAAGCGGGUGAAAAGCCCGCUCGCCGGAAGACCAAGGGUUCCUGUCCAACGUUAAUCGGGGCAGGGUGAGUCGACCCCUAAGGCGAGGCCGAAAGGCGUAGUCGAUGGGAAACAGGUUAAUAUUCCUGUACUUGGUGUUACUGCGAAGGGGGGACGGAGAAGGCUAUGUCAGCCGGGCGACGGUUGUCCCGGUUUAAGCAUGUAGGCGGAGGUUCCAGGUAAAUCCGGUACCUUUUAACGCUGAGGUGUGAUGACGAGGCACUACGGUGCUGAAGUGAUAAAUGCCCUGCUUCCAGGAAAAGCCUCUAAGCAUCAGGUAACACGAAAUCGUACCCCAAACCGACACAGGUGGUCAGGUAGAGAAUACCAAGGCGCUUGAGAGAACUCGGGUGAAGGAACUAGGCAAAAUGGUGCCGUAACUUCGGGAGAAGGCACGCUGAUAGGUAGGUGAAGUCCCUGCGGACGGAGCUGAAAUCAGUCGAAGAUACCAGCUGGCUGCAACUGUUUAUUAAAAACACAGCACUGUGCAAACACGAAAGUGGACGUAUACGGUGUGACGCCUGCCCGGUGCCGGAAGGUUAAUUGAUGGGGUUAGCGGCAACGCGAAGCUCUUGAUCGAAGCCCCGGUAAACGGCGGCCGUAACUAUAACGGUCCUAAGGUAGCGAAAUUCCUUGUCGGGUAAGUUCCGACCUGCACGAAUGGCGUAAUGAUGGCCAGGCUGUCUCCACCCGAGACUCAGUGAAAUUGAACUCGCUGUGAAGAUGCAGUGUACCCGCGGCAAGACGGAAAGACCCCGUGAACCUUUACUAUAGCUUGACACUGAACACUGGUCCUUGAUGUGUAGGAUAGGUGGGAGGCUUUGAAGCGUGGACGCCAGUCUGCGUGGAGCCAUCCUUGAAAUACCACCCUUUAAUGGCUGGUGUUCUAACGUAGACCCGUGAUCCGGGUUGCGGACAGUGUCUGGUGGGUAGUUUGACUGGGGCGGUCUCCUCCCAAAGAGUAACGGAGGAGCACGAAGGUUGGCUAAUCCUGGUCGGACAUCAGGAGGUUAGUGCAAUGGCAUAAGCCAGCUUGACUGCGAGCGUGACGGCGCGAGCAGGUGCGAAAGCAGGUCAUAGUGAUCCGGUGGUUCUGAAUGGAAGGGCCAUCGCUCAACGGAUAAAAGGUACUCCGGGGAUAACAGGCUGAUACCGCCCAAGAGUUCAUAUCGACGGCGGUGUUUGGCACCUCGAUGUCGGCUCAUCACAUCCUGGGGCUGAAGUAGGUCCCAAGGGUAUGGCUGUUCGCCAUUUAAAGUGGUACGCGAGCUGGGUUUAGAACGUCGUGAGACAGUUCGGUCCCUAUCUGCCGUGGGCGCUGGAGAAUUGAGGGGGGCUGCUCCUAGUACGAGAGGACCGGAGUGGACGCAUCACUGGUGUUCGGGUUGUCAUGCCAAUGGCACUGCCCGGUAGCUAAAUGCGGAAGAGAUAAGUGCUGAAAGCAUCUAAGCACGAAACUUGCCCCGAGAUGAGUUCUCCCUGAGACCUUGAGUCUCCUGAAGGAACGUUGAAGACGACGACGUUGAUAGGUCGGGUGUGUAAGCGCAGCGAUGCGUUGAGCUAACCGAUACUAAUGAACCGUGAGGCUUAACCUU
rnacentral:rRNA from 2 species